rnacentral:rRNA from 1 species
GACGAACGCUGGCGGCGUGCCUAAUACAUGCAAGUAGGACGCAGUUGCGAACGUGUGAGUAACGCGUAGGUCACUACCUAUUAGAGGGGGAUAACUAUUGGAAACGAUAGCUAAUACCGCAUACUAGUGGAUGGACCUGUGUUGUAUUAGCUAGUAGGUAGGGUAAUGGCCUACCUAGGCAACGAUACAUAGCCGGGCUGAGAGGGAGGACCGCCCCACCGGGGCUGGGACCAGGGCCAGGCCUCCACGGGGGGCAGCAGGAGGGGAUCUUUGGCAAUGGGGCGAACCCUGACCGAGCAACUCCGCGGGAGUGAAGAAAGUUUUCGGAUCGUAAAGCUCUGUUGUGAAGGAAGCGGUACUUAACCAGAAAGGGACGGCUAACUACGUGCCAGCCGCCGCGGUAAUAC